GAACGGACUCUUCGGAGUUAGUGGCGGACGGGUGAGUAACACGUGGGAACGUGCCUUUAGGUUCGGAAUAGCUCCUGGAAACGGGUGGUAAUACCGAAUGUGCCCUUCGGGGGAAAGAUUUAUCGCCUUUAGAGCGGCCCGCGUCUGAUUAGCUUGUUGGUGAGGUAAUGGCUCACCAAGGCUACGAUCAGUAGCUGGUCUGAGAGGAUGACCAGCCACAUUGGGACUGAGACACGGCCCAAACUCCUACGGGAGGCAGCAGUGGGGAAUCUUGCGCAAUGGGCGAAAGCCUGACGCAGCCAUGCCGCGUGUAUGAUGAAGGUCUUAGGAUUGUAAAAUACUUUCACCGGU
rnacentral:rRNA from 1 species